rnacentral:rRNA from 1 species
GGGCCCGCACAAGCGGUGGAGCAUGUGGUUUAAUUCGAUGCAACGCGAAAAACCUUACCUACUCUUGACAUACUUGGAAGCUCUUGUAAUGAGAGUGUGCCUUUUGGAACCAAGAUACAGGUGCUGCAUGGCUGUCGUCAGCUCGUGUCGUGAGAUGUUCCGUUAAGUCGGAUAACGAGCGCAACCCUUACCCUUAUUUGCCAGCGAUUCGGUCGGGAACUAUAAGGGGACUGCCGGUGAUAAACCGGAGGAAGGUGAGGACGACGUCAAGUCAUCAUGGCCCUUACGAGUAGGGCUACACACGUGCUACAAUGGGGAAUACAGACGGACGCUAAGCCGCGAGGUGGUGCUAAUCCCAGAAAACGUCUCGUAGUCCGGAUUGUUGUCUGCAACUCGACAACAUGAAGUCGGAAUC